UUUAGAUGAAAUACCUAUAAAUAGGCAUACACGUCAGCUCAGCACACAAUUCCGUUUGCGAAAUGCAACUGUUUUAAACUGUUGCAGCCCCGUUAUUAAUUUUUUCUCCACCGAAAAUUUGACAAAUAUUCAGUUGUACAAUGCGGACAAAUAACUAAUGAAGGCAAGGUGAAGACGAACAAAAGAUAAAAACUCGAGAUAAGAAUUUUGAAGGGCUCUACAGAAACUUUUGAUUGCAGCAAGAGUCCCACUAUGACGCUCUCGCUUCGGGAUUUGACUUGCCUUUCAGUUUCGUUUAUUUUCGUCAUUUGGUUGGCAGCAAACGGUUUCAUGUCGCAAUCAGCACAGAUAGUGACCAAGGUGAUGUUGUCAUUUAUUUGAUAAUAUAAUAAUAAAAAUUUAUAUGAUAGCCUAAUGGUUUUUAUCUGCGUUGUAACAAAAAGCUACGCAAUUUGAAAGUUACUAAAUCGGAUUGAAUUCACCACCAUUUUUUUUUACCCGGCUGUUAAACUCUUAAUCCAAUAGAUUGAUGUGUUAUCCUUGCAUCGUUUUCCUUGGUUUUAUUAUUUAAAUGUGCCGAAUUAAAUUAAGUCAAUUCGAAAUGUUAAGUUGUAUUGUAGUCGGUAUUAAGUGCGAUACAAAGAAGCCAGACGCUAAUCGAAAAACGAUCAUUUGUUUAAAAAGAAAAUAAUUUGAGAUAAUUGAGAAAAAAUUUUUAUUUAGUCAAAAGUUACUAAACCAUUUCUUCAGGUAAGACCAGAGGAAAUCGAAGCGCAAUGGUUCAUCAAGAUCCCGCCGGCCGUGUUGACGAUGAUGCAACAGGCCAUGAAGCUGCCGUGAUUUUUUCGUGUACGAAAAAAUAGCGCCUGACUUUUAUUUGUUAAAUGUAACAUGUUGGUGCCUGCUGAAAGCUGAAAGGCUUAUUUUGAGCGUUUGGACUUGUGCACCGGUGGUGAAACCCUGAUGGUGGUACAGUUUAGAUCAUCUCCCAGUUCUAAAAACAUUGAGAUAAAAUAGAACAGCUAUUCUAUCACCCGUUUUAAUAGCUUCAAUUUUACCUUGGUGAACCAUAUAACAUCGGUGUUUCCUGCAAUAUAUUUGGAUUUGAAUACAAACAUGUAAAAUCUUUA